CGGGGCGGGGACACGGGGGGACUCCUACGGGAGGCAGACAGUGGGGAAUAUUGCACAAUGGGCGGAAGCCUGAUGCAGAUACGCCGCGUGAGUGAAGAAGGUUUUCGGAUUGUAAAGCUCUGUCAUAUGGGAUGAUAGUGACGGUACCAUAUG
rnacentral:rRNA from 1 species